GGCUAUUAUGAGGUUGUUUAUAGUCUAGCCUGCUCACUGAUAGAAAUUAUUAAAUAGCCGCGGUAUCUUGACCGUGCAAAGGUAGCAUAAUCAUUAGUUUUUUAAUUGAAAACUUGUAUGAAUGGUUGGACAAGGAAGGUACUGUCUCUUUUAUUAUUAUUGAAUUUAACUUUUAAGUGAAAAGGCUUAAAUAUUCUAGAGGGACGAUAAGACCCUAUAAAGCUUUAUAAGUUUAAAAAUUUUAUAUAUUUUUAUAUAAAACUAAUUUUUUAAAAGUUUAUUUGGUUGGGGCGACAAUGAUAUAAGUAAAAUAACUGUUAUUAAAUUUAACAAAUAUAUUUGUCUAUAAAUUAAUUGAUCCCUUGUAAGGAUUUAAGACCAAGUUACUUUAGGGAUAACAGCGUUAUUUUUCCUGAGAGUUCUUAUCAAAGGAGAAGUUUGCGACCUCGAUGUUGAAUUAAAAUGUCUUUAUAGUGCAGCAGCUAUAAAAGAAGGUC
rnacentral:rRNA from 1 species